CCCUUUUAGAAGCCAUACAUAAAAGUUGUUUUCCUUCUGUACUGUCACAGAACUUUUACAUACAUUCUCAGUCCUAGCUGAAAAGGCCUAAAGAAGAAGAAACUCAAUUUGCAGUCCAACACAAAGGGGGGAAAUUUCUAAAAUAAAUAAUCCAACAGUUUUUUGCAUUUUUUUAAAUUAAUUUUUCAUUUUUUUAAAAUAAAAUAACCAAAAAAAGUGUAAAGUUACAAAAAAUGUCGUUGAAGAAUAAUAUAUUAAAACUGUGGAAAAAAAAAGGAAAAAGACACGUCACAAAAUUUUAAGAUUAAUAUGAAGAUCAUAAUUUAACAUAAAAGAAUAUAUUCUAUGGAUUUGUCAUCCCGAUAAAUAUGAACAAAAUUAACAAAAAAAAAGCAUAGUUUUGGCAAUAAAUACGUUUUGAUAAGUUAAAUAAGCUUUUUUAUAUUGAUGUGCAGUGACAAGCAAAAUUUUUGCUCUCCAAUUUCUGAAAGUUAUAUGAAGUUUAAAACCCAGGGAAAAAAGCAUGGCGUGAGUGCUCUAAGGAUAGACCUACGGUAUUCUAGAGCAAAAACCAUUGAAGCUACUUCUACAGGAAAUCGUUUUAACACAGCUAUUGUAUGUGGAAUGAAUACCAUUAACUGCUCACCCCUUACAUGUUUUUUUAGCUUUUCUCUCAUUUUUUUGUUAUUUUUUUUUUAAAGAUGUCACAUAUGAACUGGGGAACUUUAGCACCAAAAUCAAGUCUCUCAUAGUCCAUCUAGCUUCCCCAUCCUCCCCACUUAAAAAAAAAAAAAAGAAAAAAUUAAAUCACAAAGUCCCACUUAUGUCGCGAUCUUCAUCCACUUUUUGUCUUCCUUCCUGUAGACCUACGCGAACCCAGGCAAGAUUAGUCAACAGAGGUUCAGGUCGGGAAGAAAAAGGUUUUGAAUGUCAAGAUAGGUUUCCCCAAAAACCCAAGUCUGGCAACAACUCUCCCAAGAGGGGUGUGGGGGGGUCAUGGGGAGAGGGGAGGGGGAGGGUGUGGGAGGCUGAAAUAAGGGAAGGUGCAGUUGGGUCGCCAGCGGAGGGAGCUGCUGGUUCUGGGUCCCCUCCCCCUCCCCCAUGGGCAGAGGCUCAGGGAGGCCCACGGGUGCCCUCUGGCGCUGAAGAGGUAAUGUAGUCACAGUGACAAAGUUAGAUUACAAGGCACUAAAUUGCUUCUGUAAACUGUUACUGCUUUUUCUUUUGUGAUUUGGCACUUAAGGCGUAAGCCGAGGGGAAAAAGGCAUCUACUGACAAAUAUGGGACUUGUCUGUUAUGCAUGGUAAGUGGGCUAUAAAAUCGAGGAGAGGGGGUUUCAAGCCAGAGGAAGCUACUGACAAAUUGACUUGUCCUUAUGUUGGGGGGGGGUCAAGAGAGGGGAGAGGGAAGGGGCAUUCCAAGGUUCUGGGGGAAAGGGGUUGAGCUUAACCUUGUUAAUGUAGGGGUUGUCAGGAAUCAGGGAGAGAGGGAGGGGAGGGUAAGGAUGGGGGGUGGAGUAGGCAGGGGGUCCCUCCCUACCCGGGGUUUAGUCAUCUGAGAUGGAAAGUCUGCUGAAAAUGGGCAGGCGUCUUGAGUUGUCCAAGGUGGGGGAAUCUGAGCCACUGUGGCUGCUGCUGGAGCUGCUCAGAUAGCCCUCCUGGUCCGAGAGAGAAUCCUGAGGGCUGGGGGGAGAGUCAAACAUGUGAGGGGACUCGGACAUGGGCCGGAAGAGGAAGGUGGUCGGGGAGCCACCCCCGGGCAGCCCCAUGCUAGGGGCAAAGAGGUUCGCCAGCUCCUGGCUGGAGAAGGCGAAGGGAUUAUUGGUGCCAUCUGGCAGGGUGGGUGAGCCCAGGAGGUCAUCGGCGCUCAGGAUGGGGGGUGGGGUGAUGGACGUGGGGCUGUCCAGCAGCCCUGUGGCAGCGGCGGUGGCAGCGGCACUGGGAAACCCAGCAAAGCUAAAGCUAUGCUGGAGGCGGGGACGGUCAGCGGAGAGGUCCCGGGCCCCGGCCAGGGCGCGGCGCUCCUCAGCGUUGUGGAUGAAGUGGCAGCGGGGCCCAUACGGGCAAAAGCCGAUGGUGUGGAAGGUGCGGCACAGCUCCGUCUUGUACUUGGGGUGACGGGUCAGGCUUCGGAGCUCGUGGAUGCCAUGCGCGAACUGGCACUUGUCCCCGUACUUACAGGCGCCGUUCUCCUCAAAGGGGCGGCACAGCUCCGUCUUGUAGCGGCUGGAGUUGACCUGGCCACUCCCUGGCUGCUUCUGGGUGGGCAGCAGCCGCUCGCCCCCUUCUGAGAAAGAGCGGUCUCGGAAGCGGCUGUCCCGAGAGCUCAGAGCUGGGGCCGGCUCGCCCUUGAGGCUGCUGAGGAGCUGGUUCUGGUGGAACUUGGAGCUGGGCAGGGUGACCGAGUGCCUCCGGGGGAAGCCCCCACCGGCAGGGGUGCCCACCGCCUUCCUGUCCAGCAGGCAGCCCCCUGCACUGGGAGUACUGUAGUUGAGCAUCUUGUUACCCUGGAGGGAAGAGAGGGAAGAGAGAGGAUGGUUGGUGACAAAGGCCAUGUACCAGGGCCAAGAAAAGUACCCCUAAGUGCAGCCCCCUCCACAAUCGGAAAUGCCCCUUGUGUCUCUAAGGAACUACCUCUAACUCAGCCCUGGCAAGCCCCCUCCCACAAACCAGCCACCUAGCUUUACUUUGGCCCCAUGCAUAAGAAACUACAAAGUCCUAACCUAUAAAAAAUUGUUAUACAUGCACCCUACUCCAUGCGGACCCCUGGAAUGCACCCCCAUAUCCUGUCUCCAAAGCUACCACUUUUAUCCAUAAAAUCUAACUUUUUUACCUCCCCAGUAGAUUCCUCAGCUAAAAAGAUCUCCCGUAACUCCGACUUCUCUAGAUUCCCUUUCCCCCAAACAAGAACAGGUAAACCUCAGGAGACUCUGAGUACCCUCCUUUUAAUCAGUCCCUCCUUGAUUGACACUCCACACAAACAAACGCCUGGCUUCCCAAGACUCAACUUCCUCCUUCAGAAAGGUUCCCUUCCUUUGGCAACAGGUUUCCAGGCUGCCUUUGCUUUACUUGCUAAGAGGAGGGGAAGAGGAAGGGUCAGGAGAAAUCCUCCAUCUGGGGUGGGGGGUGGGGGGCAGGAGAAGGAUGGGAUUCUAAAAUAAAGUUCAUUGCCCCAUGCCCUGGAAAGAGGUGCCUUCUACAAUGAUCUCCCCACCCCCUCCACUGGGAAGAUGCCUUUGCAGUUAGUGUUCUGGCUGCAAGGGCAGGCUUGGAUAAGAGCGCCAGUGUUUAAUCUUUAACGCAAAGCUGCAGGUGGGAAGGAAAAGGAAAGCACCAAAUCCCCCCACCCGCCUCCCAGUCAAUAGUAGAUUUGGGGGGAGGGAAGCAGAGCCACCACAGACAGGUUUCUGUUCCAAUGGUAUACCCUGGUCACCUGCCCAAUCUGUACCCAAGAUUCGGAAAGGGCACAAGCUGGGGACCAGGGAGUUGGCUCCCAGCCCAUGUGGGUGUCAUUGUGCAAAUUCUAAAGUUGGUCCCUUAGGAUCAGCUGCAGGGGCUCGGGAAUCUGUAACAGCAACCACCCCACAGAGCGGAUUACAGGAACCAAGUUGAGAGCCCGGUUCCCAACAAUAAGGUUCAUUUAAAAAGUCCGGGGGGGGGGGCGGGGGAGGCGGGGGUAGGGAGCGAGGGAAAGAGAAAUAGAUCAAAGAGUGAGAAAGCCGGGAAGAGAAGGAAAGAGUGCAACAGAGCUCAGGUUAGCUGCCAGGGCAACUGGAGUUUGGGAAAGCCCAGAGAGGGAAGGAAGCUGAAAUUCAAACUUUUUUUGAUGUUGUUCUUCAGCUCCUCGGAGUCCCUGCACCCCAACCCUGCAGCCCUGGGGCCCUGGCAGCUGGGCCGACUGGAGAAGCAAGCUGGGAAAAGAGAGCGACAUGACCCAACGUGUUUAAAAGAAGGCAAAACACUUUAGCAAUUAAAAGUAGCCUAGCAGCUCCCCGCUUUCAAAGUGGGGAGAGGGGAUGAACAUAAUCUAACAUCCAAAGGCUUUUGCUGUGUACACUUAAACCUCAUUCAUGGAAAAUUGUGUUUAAAACCUGCUUUUUUCACACAGGUUGGCAAGCUACGCCACUUAAGGAGGCCCCAUUAAAUCCUUCCUCGCAGAGCCCCUUGAGCUCAGGCCGGCAUUUUGUUCUCCAGGCCCCCCUCAACCCCCUCGGAAAACAGGUAAACGGGUCAAGCCUAGUACCAUUAUCACCCCAAAGUUUGCAGUACUGUAGGCGAUCCCAGAAGGAAGCCUGGACGAGCUGGGGCGAACUGAAGUCCUACUGCAAACCCGUUCUGCAACAUCCUUUUGAAUCACAACUCUUGGCCUUUUUCUCGCAGGUUCCCAGCCCUUCCACAUCAGACAUCCCAGUAGAGAUGUCGUCCGGAGACUCACUUCCCCAAGGGGAGCCCUGCUGACCCCACUGGCUGGCGGUGUGGCUGGAGACUCGAACCCCUCCCGGCGACAGCGAGACCCAGAGCGCGCACAGGCAAACCGAGCAGACCAGCGAAACCGGGCUCAAGCAGCACAUUACGGGCGACGGAAUCACCAAAAAAAAAAAAAAAAUGGUCCCAGCAAAUGACCCGCAUCCCUCGGGCGGCCUCGCCACGAAAACUUCGCCCCCCCAAAACUCUGAUCUCCAAAUUCCCAUGCAGUAGCCGCUAGGACCUGUUGAAACUCAAAGGGUGGGAAGGAGAGAGCCAAAUUCCUUUAAACUGGGGGGAAAGUAAGGCGGAAAAAAGAACCAUCUUGCCUCUCUUCCUCUCCUUCCUACUUUCCAAGACCUGAACUUUUGAGGGUUCUUUCUUUAGGCAAAAGAGGAAAAAGAAAACUUUGAAAAGCGAACCCUCCGCCCCACUCUACCUUGCAUAAAACUUCACUCAAGUCGAAGAUGGUGGCAGACACGAGGGUGGUGGUCAUCCUGGGCGCUCGCACGGGGCAGGGACGAGGAUCUGGUGUGCCGCGAAGGUCCCGGUGCGGGGAAGGCGCAGCCUCCGGCUCUCCGGUCUGGAGUCCCACACGCCUGCUCCCGGCGCCCCUCGCCUUUCUGACUCUCCCCGACUGCGGCGCGCGAAGCCCAAUUUAUAAAGUUCAGAUUUGGUGGACCGGGGGAGGAGGAGCUUUAAACUUAUUUAAAUGAGGAAGAGGAGGAAAAAAAAGGUGAUUGACACUGAAGUUGAAUCAGCCAUGCGGUCAAACUCGGGAAGAAAAAAAAAAAAGAAACUUUCAAAAGGAAGAAGGGGGAGGGGAAACGAGGAAAGAAGGCUAAGAAAAAAAAAAAAAAACCAACUGCAAGCAGCGCACAACUUUUUUUUCUUAAAGAGGAAAAGUUUCGAGUCUCUCGCUUGGCUACCCGGCGCUUGGGGCGCCCCUCUGUGGGGCCGCGCGGCGCGAGGGGGAGGGGCGCCCCCCCCUUUGUCAGCCUGCGAGCGCGGCUCUGUGACAUCAUUCAUUCCACCCUCUUCGGGGUUCUUGUUGUUGUGUUGUUGUUUUUUUGUCGGGCAGGAAGGCGGGCUCGACUUUCUCUUUUUGCAGGCGGGAGCAGAACCCGUCCUUAGCGCCCGGGCUGCGGUUUCCAUCUUGAGCAGAUCUCCCCUGAAACUUCUCCAAGUGCCCCCCACAACUUAACUCUUUUCCCGAGUUUUCUUCCGCACUCGGCUGCCUUCCGCAAACCAGGCAGGACCAGAACAUCGGGAAUUUGGGACGCAGAAAGCAUUCGGGUCUAAGGUUUUUAGUUUAGUUUAGUUUUUGGUUUUUUUUUUUUUUUUUUUUUCAGCAGGUCGUGGGGGACGUAGAGUGGUGGGGGAAACUAGGGAGAGUUUUUCCCUGGGGGGGACCGGGCCCGGCCGGUAGAGCGCAGCACGGUUUCGCGCGCCGCACGCGUCUACACUCUCCUGUGCUUCGCAACCGAACGGCGGGAGGGGCAGUAGCGAAAAAGACCACCGCCCGGAAGGAUUGCUUGCUUAACAGGCUUGAGAGUGGGAUUUAUUUCACGCAUUCAACCCUUAAACUUUUUCAAAAAGAAAACAUGAAUCCUCAUGAAUGUCCUUUCCAAUCCGCCCUCCUCGCCCCCCCCCCGAAACACCAAUAACGCACAACUUUCCACGAGCGCUCUGAACUAUGGGACACACGCACACACCCCUAGACGCUUGAACAAUGAAAAAAGUUACUUUGGCAAGAAUGAAGGUAAAGAAAUGGGGGAGGCGACACUUUUAACUUCUUGUUGCUUCUCCCCCGCCCCCACGGGAACGGAACAUAUGGCUUGUCACGCUGCGCUGUUUGGGCGGGAUGGGGGGAAGGGGGCAUGGGAUCUUCCAACCCCCCCCCCAUAGAUUAUUACUCCUUUUAAGACUGUAAUAUAUUUACUGUUAGCUUCAGAGGCCUCUCCUUCCACCCAAAUAAAAAGUUGUUAACGUGUCGCCCACGGCCCCCGGGUGCUGGAGCGAAGACCCAGGCGGAAAUCGCGGGGCUGUGUUUCUUUCCUAUUUCCCCGCGUGCCCGGCCGCCUCCUCAGCCCUCGCACGUUUCUUCCCAGCACUCAAGGCGGCCGGGUCUGUUAUGAAACCCCGUGCGCUGAGUGGCUAAGAGCGGGUUCCAUUGCGAUGUAAUUAGGUCACCCCAUUAUGAGCACGUUUCUUUGGAAAGGACAGGGCGGGCGGAGCAGAGCGCUCGAGUCGCGCUCUCACCACCACCACCCACCCACACACACACACUCACGCAUUUUUAUUGCAUUUCUGGUGUAUUCGUCAACCUCCGAGCAGACCCAGGGAAACCUUCCAAAUCACAACUGUUUUAGGAACCGGUUAUUUUUCAUCUUUGCGAAACAGAACUUUUGCUGCAACCACCAACCUACGUGAUCCCAGCCGGGUCUGCUUUUAUUUGGCCCCUCUGACUUAAAUUGAUGGCCCCCAUUUUUAACCCGGCUGCUGCCCCUUGCCUUUCCUUCUGCUGCUGUCCAGCCGCCUGUUGCUUCCCUCCCCCUGCUUCCAUAUUUCAGCUUUUCUUGAAAUCUGGCAAGCGCCAGAAAGGGAAAUAACUUCCAUCCACCUUAAUUUAAAUCACUCAAGUGUAGGUUUCUUUCUUAAAGGGGUGUUUGCUCGCUCCUUUACCCAGCUCCAAGAAAGGGAGGGGGUCGUGCAGUUUCUUGGUGAUGAGGUAAUGAGUUCCAGAUUUCAGGACAGAGCAGGCUGCGCGUUAAAACCACAAGGUUAGUCUGCGUCCUGAUGUGAAGCUAUUUCGUCCUUUUAUCUGCCUCCCCCCCACCCCAAAAGACCCAUUGGUCUUUAAUUCUGGACGGUUCGCGAAGCUCUGCUGGGGGGAUGGAGGAGGGGUGGAAAAGCGAGGGAGAAGGGGGACCCGGAGCGGGUGGGGCCGCCUGCCCGGCCCCAGGCCUGGCCCGCUGUCCCCCCCGCCCGCGGCUGCAGGACUGGCUAGAAGCACCAUCACGCGGCCCCGGAGCCGCAGGCUAGCUAAAAAGUCUUUUUUCCCAACCCCCCCCCCCCCAAAAAAACCCCCUUNNNNNNNNNNNNNNNNNNNNNNNNNNNNNNNNNNNNNNNNNNNNNNNNNNNNNNNNNNNNNNNNNCCAGCCUGGCCCGCUCGCUCCGGAGUUGUUUACCGGCCCCGCCGACCCACCGAGUUUGUUCCAGCUCCCAGAGCCUGCCUCUAUAAUUAAACUCUUUUUUAAUUGUUGGGUUGAAACGUCAUUUCGGGGACUUUCCAAGGGUGAGGGAGCCGAGGGGAGGGAGCGAGCCUCCUUAACCCUUCGCUGACCCGGCGGGCCGCAGAGUGGCGUCCAGCAGGGCCGAGGAGGGCUGAGAGUCCAGGGGCCGGAGCCGGCCCGCCCCGACUGGACCGGCUCUGCAGGUGUCCGAUGGCGGCGGGGACGGCGGAGAGCUCCGACCCGGCCGGGAAGGCCGACGAAAGCCAUCCGCCGAGCUCCCCGCCCCCUAAGCAAUGCAGUCCGCGCUCCGGUUCCUUACCCGCGCGGGGCCGCGAGAGGCAGUCCCUCCACCUGCACUGCAGCUUCCGACCAGGAGGCGAUCCGCCGGAUCCUCCGUCCCAGGCCCGACUAUCAGGGCCCUCCUGGCGCACUUGGAGCCGGUCCCCUCGCGAGGAGGGGCUGGGCAGGUAUUUUUGGCUUGGGGUGUUAGGUUUUGUUCAAGGAGGAAGGUGAAAGUCCCUCGAAAUUAGGGAACCGCGACGGAUGUAUUCAUGGGUCAUUCUGGACCGUGGGCGCACCUCGCGGCAGGUGAGCGUGUGGGGUGCCAGGCCCCUAGCGGGCUUGGCCACGUCAACAGCGACCUCCAAGGCACCCUUCCCCAGGAUCCCAUCCUGGCCCGGUUGCAGCACGCGAUCUGCCAUCGCAGAGUCCCACGGCUUCAGGUCGUUUGCACAAACCCCCAAAUUCUUCGGAUUGGGCCCCGCCCACCCAGGACCUCUGCCACCUGAGACCCUGGAACAGCUGUAAGGUCUCUGGAUUAGAGAGAGGUGGAGGUAUGGCCAAGUGCGGCCUGAGAGUUACGUGGUUUAGAUUCACCUGUAGUGCUUGUGGAAUGCAGAUUCCUGAGCUUGGACCCAGGCCCAGUGAAUCAGAUGGUCUGGGUGGGGAUUCAGAUGCUCUGGGGUGGGGUCAGGAAUCUGCAUUUCUAGUAAUUUCCUGCUAGUGACUCAGACAUUGAGGUCUGGGAAUCAGUGGUCCAAAACGUUGAAGUUGGGCCAUUCUGGAUCCAAAUCUUGGCCCUGCCAUUUUCUAGCCGUGUGACUUUUCAAGACAGUGACCAAAGCCUCUGUUUUCUCAUCCCUAAAAUAUGGAUGAUAAUACAUUGGCCACUAAAGUGCUUAGUUUCAACCCUAGCAGAACCCUUUUAUAUGCCUAGCCAUUGUAUGUAAACGAAACCAUUCUUGAGGCCUUAUUACACCACAAAACACAUUUUGGGGAGUAUUCACUUUGCAAAAGGAUGCUUCAGUAUGAACAUCCGUGAAAUGGUCAGCUAACAACUUUGACCCCUUCUGCGCCUUCUCCUUCCUUGCCUGGGCCUGCCUAGAGACACAGGAUAGCCCAGGAGUUUUGAGCCACCUAGACUUUGAGGGGAAGCCCAACUCUGCCAGCUGGUCACCAGUUGCACAACCUCAAGCAGGUCACUUAUUCUCUGGGGUGGUCGGGAAGGUUAAACUCUUCCAGCCAGUGCUUAGCUCCAACAGCCACUUGCCCUCCAGUCACUCCAAACUAGCAGUUGCUGGUGGUUUGCUGCACAGCCCUCCCUGGGGCUUUGCUCAAGAGGUUCCUUCUGCUGGGGUUUCACGCAGCUCCCAGAGCAGGCAAAAUACCUCUCUCGCAGCAGGCCCACUGCAGCCUGCGGCACUCCGGCAUUCUACUGCAUUUUAUGGGAAUUAUCUGUUUACUCCCACUGGACCUGUCAACUCCUGGAGGGCAAGGGCAGCUCUAUUACCUGGGUCUCAGGAGUAGGUCCUGAGUAGGUACGCAAUUCAUUUUUUUUCCCCAGCUUUCACAGCACCUGCUGUUGUAACCAUUAGGAUACUUUGGUCACCCUAAACCCGGCAGUGGGAAUAGAAGAAGGAUGGACGAGGCUCCAGGAGUGACAGGAAGGGGGGAGGCCUUGGGCUCUGCCAUCAGGGGAGAUGGCACCCUUACCAGGUUCAGAAGGCCAGAGCUGGUAAUUCAGGAAGGCUGGGCUUCCACGGCUUGCCAAGGGCAAGUUCUGUUUAGCUGUUAAGAAGUGACAUAGUCUAAUGGAAUGAGCACUGGUCGAGGAGUCAGGAAUCUUGGAUUCUAGAGCUACUCUGCCGCUAGUUCAGUAGGUCAUUCUCUACUCCGGGCUUCCAUAUUCUGCUCUGUAGAUGGAGAGCAUUAGACUAGGCAGGUGGUACUCGAAUACCACGCUGAGCAGAAUUACCUGGGGAGCUUUUAAAGCUAUACAGAUGCCCUGUGCCACCCCAUCCCAGUCCAGCCUCCUCCAAAGAUUCCACUUCAGUUGGUCUGGUGUGAGGCCCAGCAUUUGUAUCUUCUAAGCUGUCCAGAUAAUUCUAUUGUGAAUCUAUUAUGAACCCAGAAGCACUGGAUUUGAUUAUGUUAGAUCAGUAGUUCUCAACCAGGGAUGAUUUUGCCCCCCACCCCCACCCCAUGAACAUUUGGCAAUGUCUAGAUACAUUUUGGGUUGUCACUAUCGGGAGGUGGGGAGGUCAGUGCUACUGGCAUCUAGAAGAUAGAGGCCUGAUAUGCUGCUAAACAUCCACACAAUAGCCCCCACAACAAAAUUUAUCUGACCCAAAAUGUCAAUGGUACCCAAACUGAAAAACCCAGUUUUAGAGGUUCUUUCCAACUCCCAAGAUCCCUGCAUACUUAGUUAGGCUCUAUCCCCACUCCCCCUGAAACCCUUCUUAGGGCAGCCCAAGUGAUCUUUUUCUUUUCUUGGUUUUUUUUUUUUUUUUCCACGUUUAUUUAUUUAUUUUGAGAGACAGAGCUCUUCGCUGUCAAUGCAGAGCCUGACGCAGGGCUCAAUCCUCUGAACCAUGAGAUCACGACCUGAGCUGAAAUCAAGAGUCAGACGCUUAACCUAUUGAGCCACCCAGGUGCCCCUCCAAGUGAUCUUUUCCAAAACCUAGAUCUAGGGUGCCUGGCUGUCUUAGUCAGUGGAGCAUACCGCUCUUGAUCUCAGGGUUGUGAGUUCCAGCCCACAUUGGGUGUAGAGAUUACUUAAAAAUAAAAUCUUCAAACAACAACAACAACAACAACAACAACAAAACCCCCCAAACCUAGACCUGAUCUUGUGUUACACUUGCCUAAAAACCUUGGCUACCCAUCCUUCUUGGAAUAAAAACCAUACCCAUAGUCCAGCAUAGUCUGACUCUCUUACUGCUCCAGUCUGGACUUUCAUACCCCUCCCUCCCACCACUUCUCCCACCCCCCAGGGCACCCCCCUUUGCUCUGGUCAGUUUCAGAUGAAAAUGAAGGAUACUUCCUUCUGCCCUAGGGCCUUGACACUUGUUAUUUCUCCUGUCCGAACUGACCUUCCUUUGGCCCAAAUAAAUUCUAAAUCAUCCUUUAGAAUCCAGCUCAAGCAUCACUCCCUCCAAGACAAGGUAUCUCUCUCCUCUCUGAAGUCCUCAUGGAAUGUUCAUUUCGUUCAGAGUAGUUAUUUCCGUUUAUAAGUAUAUGUUCAUUCCUGUCACUUUUUUUUCUUUUUAAUUUCACAUGCAGAAAAAUUGACCUAUCUUUGGUGUACAGAUUUUUUUUUUUUUUUUAAUUUUGGAGAUGGAGAGGGACAGCACAGGAGCCAGGGAGAGGAGCAGAGGGAGUGAGAGUGAAUCCUAAGUAAGCUCCCGGCUCAGCGCAGAGCCUGAUGCAGGGCUCCACCCAGGGCCCUGGGAUCGUGAUCUGAGCCGAAAUCAAGAGUCAGAGCCACCCAGGCGCCCUUAGCAUGCAGACUUUUAAUGUGAAUAGAUUAAUCACCACCAUGACCAGGAAACAGAACAGCUCCAUCACUCCCAAAAACUUCCCUCAUGCUACCCCCUUGUAGUCAUGUGCUUCCCCUCCCUUCACUCUGCAACCACCGAUCUGGUCCCUAUACUGUAAUUUCAUCUUUUCCAGAAUGCCAUAUAAAUAGAAUCAUAUAGGAUGUAUGAUUUCACACAACGUAAUGCCUUUGAGAUUUAUCCAUGUUGUUGCAUGUAUCGCUAGUUCAUUCCUUUUUGUUGAAGAAUACUAUUUCACUGUAUGGGUGCACCAUUUUUUAUUCACCUGUUGAAACACAUUGGAUUAUUUCUAGUUGGGGGCCCUGAUGAAUAGAGCUGCAGUAGCAUUUGUGUACAGAUUUUUCUGUGAACACGGUGCCUAUUUCUCUAGGGUAAAUAAGUAGGAGUGGGAUUGCGGGGUCAAAUGGUAAGUGUAUGUGGAAGUUUAUGUUAAAAACUGCCAAACUGGGGCGCCUGGGUGGCUCAGUCGUUGAGCUUCCGACACUUGAUUUCCACUCAGGUCAUGAUCUCACAGUGAGUUCAAUCCUUGAGUCUGGCUCUGCACUGACAGCAUGGAGCCUGCUUGGGAUUCUCUCUCUCUCUCUCUCUCUCUCUCUCUCUCUCUCUCUCUUUUUCUCUUUUUCUCUCUCUGCCCCUCCCCUGCUCGCAUGCUCUCUCUCAAAAUAAAUAAAUAACAUUUAAAAAGAAACCUGCCAAACUGUUUCCCAGAGUGGAUAUACCAUUAUGCAUCUCCAACAACAAUAUGUAAAUUACAUGUAAGCAACAGUUGUUCCACACCCCGACACCAAGCCUUACAAUUGUCCGUAUUUUUUAUUUUAGUCAUUCCAAUAGUGUGUGGUAGUAUCUCAUUAUGGUUUUAAUUUGCAUUUCGUUCAUGGCUAAUGAUGUUAAACAUCUUUUCAUGUACUUAUUUGCUAUAUGUGUAUGUCCUCUUUGGUGAAAUAUCUGUCCAGGUCUUGCCCAUUUUUUAAACUGGGUUAUUUAAGGGGCGCCUGGGUGGCGCAGUCGGUUAAGCGUCCGACUUCAGCCAGGUCACGAUCUCGAGGUCCGUGAGUUCGAGCCCCGCGUCGGGCUCUGGGCUGAUGGCCCAGAGCCUGGAGCCUGGUUCCGAUUCUGUGUCUCCCUCUCUCUCUGCCCCUCCCCCGUUCAUGCUCUGUCUCUCUCUGUCCCAAAAAUAAAUAAACGUUGAAAAAAAAAAAAAUUUAAACUGGGUUAUUUGUUUUCCCACUCUUGAGUAUUGAGAGUUCUUUUUUUUUUUUAAUGUUUAUUUAUUUUUGAGAGAGAGUCAGAGCGCAAACGGGGGAGGGGCACAUAAAGAAGGAGACACAGAAUCUGAAGCAAAAUCUGCACAGAGCCCGAUGCAGGGCUCCACCUCACAAACUGCCAGAUCAUGACCUGAGCCGAAGUCAGACUCUUAACCGACUGAGCCACCCAGGUGCCCCUCUUUUUUUUUUUUUAAGCUAUUUUAUUUAUUUAUUUUUAAAAUGUUUGUUUGUUUGUUUGUUUGUUUAUUGGGAGAGAGGGAGAGAGAGCAAGAAUCCUAAGUAGGCUCCAUGCUGUCAUCACAGAGCAGGAUGCCACCCAGGCACCCGGAGGGUUCUUUAUAUAUUCUAGAUACAGUUGCUUUGUUGGAUAUGUGAUGUGCAAAUAUUGUCUUCAGUCUGCACCUUAGCUUUUCAUUCUCUGAGCAAAAUAUUUUUCACAGAGCAGAAGGUUUCAGUUUUGAUGACUUUUUUUCAGUUUUUCUUUUGUGGAUCAUGCUUUUAAUGUUGCAACUCACACUCUUUACCUGACCCUGCAUUAAGAUUUUUUCUUUUAAAAUUUAAUAGUUUAUGGGGCGCCUGGGUGGCGCAGUCGGUUAGGCGUCCGACUUCAGCCAGGUCACGAUCUCGCGGUCCGGGAGUUCGAGCCCCGCGUCGGGCUCUGGGCUGAUGGCUCGGAGCCUGGAGCCUGUUUCCGAUUCUGUGUCUCCCUCUCUCUCUGCCCCUCCCCCGUUCAUGCUCUGUCUCUCUCUGUCCCAAAAAUAAAUAAACGUUGAAAAAAAAAAAAAAUUUAAAAUUUAAUAGUUUUAUGCUUUACGCUUAGAUCUGUGAUCCAUCUUGAGUUAGUUUUUAUAUAUGAUGGGAAAUUUAGGUUGAGGUUUGUUUUUUUGCCUUUGGGUGUUCAAUCCUAACACUGUUGUUGGGUUUUUUUUUAAGUUUAUUUAUUUGGAGAGAGAGAGAGAGGGGAGAGAGAGAGAGAGAGAGAGAGAGAGAAAGAGAGAGGGAGAACGAGAUGGGGAGGAGCAGAGAAAGGGAGAGAGACAGAAUCCCAAGCAGGCUCUGCACUGUUAGCGCAGAGCCCCAUGCAGGGCUGGAACCCAUGAACUGUGAGAUCAUGACCUGAGCCGAGAUCAUGACCUGAGCUGAGGUCAAGAGCCAGAUGCUUACCAACUGAGCAACUCAGGCCACCCCCCCCCCAGCACUGUUUAUUAAAGAGACUAUCAUUUGUCCAUUGAAUUGUUUGCGCCUAUUCAAAAAUCAGUUGGUCAUAGUUGUAUGGGUCUGUUUAUUCUGUUCCACUGGUCUGUGUGUCCAUUCUUUUGCCAGUGCUACACUUGUCUUGGUUAUAGUGGCUUCAUGGGAAGUCUUAAAAUCAGGUGGUGUAAUUCCUCCAACUUUAUUCUUAUUUUUCAAAAGUAUUCUCAUUAGUUUGCCUUUUCAUAUAAAUUUCAGAAUCAUCUUGUCUGUAUCUUCCAAAAAAAUUGUACUGGGAAUUUUAUUAGAGUUGCAUUAAACCUAUAGAUCAGUUCAAGAAGAAGUGACAUCUUUACCAUGUUGAGUCUUCUAAUCCAUGUACAUGGUAUGUCUAUUUAUGUAGGUUUUUGGUUUCUUGAAUCAGUGUUUCAUAGUUUUUAUUUGUAUGUAUUUUUAAGUACGCUCCUUGCCCAGCGUGGAGCCCAAGACCCCGAGAUCAAGACCUGAGCUGAGAUCAAAAGUUGGAUGCUUAACCAACCAAGCCACCCAGACACCCCUUUGUAGUGUUUAGCCUAUAGAUCCUACACAUGUUUUGUUAGAUUUAUACCUAGUAUUUCCCUCCUUUGGGGAACUAUUAUAUUUUUUCUUAAUUUCAGUUCCUAAUUUUUCAUGGCUAGUGUAUAGAAAUACAGUUUUUUGUGCAUUGGCCUUGUAUCCUGUGUUCUAAGUCACCUUAGUUGUAAGAAGGUUUUUUUGGUAGAUUCCUUAAGUUUUGUUUUGUGUGUAUGUGUUUCUAACAUAGACAAUUAACUGCAAAAAGGAACAGCUUAAUUUCUUCCUUUCCAAUCUCAUGCCUUACAUUUCUUUUUCCUGCCUUAUUGCUCUGUCUAGGACUUCCAGUAUGAUACUGAAUAGGCAUUCAUGAGUGGACACCCUCACCUGAUCCCAAUCUUAGGGGAAAGCAUUCAGUCUUUGACUAUUAAGUACAACAUUGGUUUCAGGUUAUUUUACAGUCGUUUAACUUUUUUGUUGUCGUUGUUUAUUUAUUUUUGACAGAGAGAGAGAGAGAGACAGAGCACGAGUGGGGGAGGGGCAGAGAGAGAGGGUGACACAGAAUCCAAAGCAGGCUCCAAGCUCCAGGCUGUCAGCACAGAGCCCGACGCGGGGCUCAGACUCACAGACCGUGAGGUCAUGACCUGAGCCAAAGUCAGACGCUCAACCGACUGAGCCACCCAGGUGCCCCUGGUCAUUUAACUUUUUGACAUCUCCCUUCCCACUAGGAUGUAUACUCCAUGAGAGCAGUCUCUCUGCUCUCAACUCAACCUUUAGUGCCUGCAACGGUACCUAACACACAGUUAACAAUUCUCUACUUUAGUAACUUAUCCAGCCAUAACCACUGCCCUUAUGACAGACAGCAGAGGGACUUGGCUGAACAUUCAGACAUUGUGAAGAAUAACUGGACGAUAAAUACCCCAGUGGAUCCAACCAGGCAUUAGCCCCAUGGAGUUGGCCACUUGAAACUGCAGCUUUCUAGCAAGCCAUUCUGUGUCGAAGCAUUGAUCUAUCAGGAAAAGAUGACCGCAAUAAAAUAAUUAUUUCAGACUGAGAGCAUUCUAUUCCCAAAGGGAAUCUAAACAAAAAGCUCUUGGCUCUGAAAAACAGGGGCUUUCAGGGUAAGGAGUCACACUGCUCUGAAAUCUUAGGCCCUCGGAUGGGUGGGGUUGUUUCGCUAAAUUUAUUUCAGCCGCUUAUAGAAACACAAGGGGGAAGAGGGGGGUGGCUGCUUGCACACCAGCCCUGGCUCUGGAGUAUUAAUAUCUGCCGGGUCAGGCUUUUAUUUGGGUUUUGUUUCACCUUUUGGGGGUGGGGAGG
rnacentral:lncRNA from 1 species